rnacentral:rRNA from 1 species
UACGUAGGGGGCUAGCGUUGUCCGGAAUCAUUGGGCGUAAAGAGCGCGUAGGCGGCCAGGCAAGUCCGGUGUGAAAGUCACAGGCUCAACCUGUGAAUGCCGCUGGAAACUGUCUGGCUAGAGUCCGGAAGGGGCGAGUGGAAUUCCUGGUGUAGCGGUGAAAUGCGUAGAGAUGUGGAGGAACACCAGUGGCGAAGGCGACUCUUUGGCCUGUAACUGACGCUGAGGCGCGAAAGCGUGGGGAGCAAACAGG